CUCUCAGAGCGCCUAUCCCAGUGACGUCACACGCACUCCGCCACAUUCAUAGUUCAUACUCCACCCGCAGCAGCCAUGAUGCAAGAAGGGCUGGACGAUGGUCCCGAUUUCCUCUCGGAGGAGGACAGAGGACCAAGGGCAGUGAAUGUGGAUCUUCAAACUGACGCUACACUCCAGGUGGACAUUUCAGAUGCUCUGAGU